ensembl:lncRNA
CCAGUUUUGGGGGGGGAAACCAACAGGAGAAAGAGAAAACCUGAUGUUCUACUUGACUGUCGCAUAGAUUUGUUUAUUCAGUGGACUUUAGAGACCUCAACUACAAAGUGGAUGCACUGCUGUAGGGCUUCCCAAUUGCCAAGACAGGUUCUCCAAAUCCUCGCUGCAACUGGGGCACCACAACGACUGUGGAUCUGGAUGACGAUUUUCAUAUACAUCAAGCCUGAAGGAAUGUGUGGAGAGGAAUAGCAGCAGAGACUGCAGAAAAGGCAGAUCAGAAAGAAAGUGGUCACAUUUAUUGAAGUUGAGAAUCACAGUAUUACUUCUGACUGAAUAAAAAGGAUCAAAGCAGGCUUUGUACUAUAACUAUCAUGUUUUAUGGCAGAAAAAAAUGAAGCUAAAAUAUUUUUCCCAGUAUUGAAGGCUCUCUGACCUGCCUGAAAGCCAGGUAAGACUCCUAAAGGUAGUUGCCAAAAUUAGCUUCUCUUCAUUAAAUAUUUCCUUUUUGUUGGAGUGGCUAAUCCUAACUUCUCCAGGAGCAUGCUCAUAAUUGUGUCUAAUCAUUCUUAACAGCUUUUCACAAAAGAGUAAAGUGCUUUUCACAUAAGAGUAAUGAGUAAAAAAGAGUUACUAAUACAGCUCUUUUUUUCCUUUUUCAUUAACUUGAUCUCUCAGUGUAUUAUUGUAACUGAACUAAUUACUAACCUUUGCUGUAUUUUAUCAUAAAGUUAAGCUUGAAGUAGACUGUUCCCCAUUCAUUUUGUUUUAAGUCUUCUUAUAGAUAUUUCAGUUUCAAACAGAUCUUCUUCUUCCAACAGAGGAUGAGUCUGCUACAAGAAGCUGCUGAAAUGAUGCAAAGAAUUAAGUUCAUUUAUCUUAACACUGCUUUUAUGAUUCAAUACAGAUUCUGUAGCAGUUUUCCUGUUCCAAACAUGUCUGAGAACAGAUUUAUUAAUAAUUUUGACUCCAUUUGCUAUCUGAUCCUCAAACUGCCGUUUGGUCUGCCUUAUUACUUUUGCUUUUUUUAUCUUCUGAAAUUUGUAAUUCUCUCCCCUGUCUGCAUUCAGACACUGAAUCAGUUUUUCAGAGAAAAUCUUCCUUCUAACAAUGGCUUGUUGUUUAGCUGCAUUAGUUGUGUUUCACCUUUUCCCUUGUCUUUCACACUUGGUCAUAUACCCUGUAAGUAUUUGGUGUUUAAAUGGUGAAGAUUUUUCAAAGAAUUUCCUGUAAUCUGUUAGACUGUGAUUCAGUAAUACAGGUGCACAAAUUUGUACAGUACAAGAUUGGUCCUAUUUACUUCACUAGAAGCACUUACAUUUAAUUCUAAGUCGAAACUAAGCCUGGCUUCUCAUUCUCUGCCUAUAGAGAAAUACCUGUCAUUUCAUUUAAGUGUUCAUUUAAAUGGUAAAUAUCCCAAAGUAUGACGAAUCCAGUAAAUUAUCUACAGGUAAUUGUUAGAAAAGCUUUUGUUUUCUGUUGUAUAAUUAAAAUAAAAAAUGGCUGCAUGACAUCUCUUACUGUCAUUCAGGAAGGAUAAUAAAAUGAGGUAGAAAUGCAUAAAGAUUAUUUGAUGACCCUUCAUAGCUGUUUUCUAAGAUCUCUUUCUCUAUUCUGCUAACACCGUGGAGACUUACUGACUUGUGCAGAUGUCAGUUGAAAUAUUACAGAUUAGAUUGGAUGCAUUCUUAGCAUGACUUUUUAGCACCUUUUAGUACCUUCAGCAUAUUUUAGCACCUUUUCUCACUGUUAAGAUAUGCAGCUACAAUUGAAACUCAGGUUAAAGAAAACUUUGCAUUAUUUUUUACUACUACUAAUAAAGCUAAUUUA